rnacentral:misc_RNA from 1 species
GAUGAAGAACGUAGCGAAAUGCGAUAAGUAAUGCGAAUUGCAGAAUCCGUGAGUCAUCGAAUCUUUGAACGCACAUUGCGCCCGCCAGUAUUCUGGCGGGCAUGCCUGUCCGAGCGUCAUUUCAACCCUCAAGCCCCCGGGCUUGGUGUUGGAGAUCGGCGAGCCCCCCGGGGCGCGCCGUCUCCCAAAUAUAGUGGCGGUCCCGCUGUAGCUUCCUCUGCGUAGUAGCACACCUCGCACUGGGAAACAGCGUGGCCACGCCGUAAAACCCCCCACUUCUGAAAGGUUGACCUCGGAUCAGGUAGGAAUACCCGCUGAACUUAAGCAUAUCAAUAAGCGGAGGA